ensembl:lincRNA
GAACUGGCAAUGAAAGGAAAACAUCACCGCCACCACUUGUAAAAGAACCGAGCCCCUUUCUUUGUGGGACAGGAAAGGGCUCAUCCUGCAGCAGGAGGGAGGCCCCAGUGCCGCCAGCUGGCUUGGCUGGGAGCUCACAGUGGCUCUCAGCUCCUCCAAGCACCUUGCCACCCUGCUGCCUCCACAUAGCCACACAGAUCCGUGUGUUUCUGCCUCAGAGCCAGACAACCAUGGACCAAACCGUCAGAAACGGUGAACCAGAGGUAAGCCCUCCUCCCUCGAGCUGGGUGCUGUGCCGGGGUCUUGGUCCCAGCAGUGCAGAGCUGAAUGAUACACGUUGCAGCCACACCACUGAGGCUCCUGGGAGGUGGCCAUGGGCAAGGCCUGCGCCGGUCCAGGAAAGGCUCUGCAUCCCAACUCCUAAUCCAGCUGCCCAGCCCAUCCUGCUUUGCCCCAACAUCGGGAGGGAGCCUCAUUGUCUCCUUCCGAGCACAGAGAACCUGGCAUCCGAAACCCAAGUCUGAGUCCCACCACCGGGACGCUUCUCAGGAAGGAAAGCAAAACAGAGAUUUCGAGAGAAGGGACCGGGAGACGGUGCCCCGGUUCCGCCCAGGCGGCUCCUCCUGGGGUCUUCACUGUCAUUGGUCCCGACGAGCCCUUCCCAGCAGCGCUGUCAGAGGAAGGGCGAGGACAGCGCCCACAGUUCUGAAGGACACACUGGGGUUCAGGACUCUCGGCCCCCUGAGUAGAGCAGAGGACGACGAUCCCAGAAAAUUCAGAGGCCCUGACCAAGACUGCUACCUACAGGGAAGCUGGGCUGAAGAUAGAAGAAACCUGCUCAGAGGAUAGUCUGGAGACAUUUGGAGGAAAAGCAUGCAGCGAAAAGCCCUAUGAGUGGUCUGGUUCCGACAAGAGGUCUGUGCAGAUCCCAGCAUGGGGACCCCAGGGCGGCUGCCGGUGCAGGGUGGGAGCAGAGGUGGCUCCUCCUCUGGGAAGUCACUCCCGAGACAGGCGCUCAGGUCUUCUCCCUCUUCAGUCACCUCCAUUUAAACAUUCCUGGCUCUCGCUGCAGGUCAGGCUGCUCACUAUGCAGCUGCUAUGAAAAGCACAGAAAUGAAUCCAUGGCCCUCUCACCCAAACAGCUUUGGAAGUUGUGCUAAAGGCCAGAAGCAGCCUGCUCCCGACGGAUCUCACGGUUGUGCCCGGAGGAGUGAGGCGAGCUUCUGAAACGUCUCACAGACAGGAACUCCUGUGAGACUCUGGGCGCACGCCAGUGAGGCAGCUGCUUUUUCGAAUGGCAGCUAUCACAGCGGGGCACUGUUGACAGCACAGAAUCCCACCAUCCCUCCCCUCUCCCUCUCCCCUGCGCCCUCCCUCCCUCCCCCUUCCAUGCUGGGGAUUGAACCCAAGGCUCUCACACUGAGCUACAUCCCUAGCCCUGGUUUUACGUUUUAGGGUCUCACUAAGGUGCUAUGUUGACCAGGCUGGGCUCAGACUUUUGAUCCUCCUGCCUCAGCUUCCUGACGUUGGCAUUAUAGGACUGCACCACCAUGCCUAGUUUUAUAAUAGUUCACACAUAAUAAUAGUAUAAUUUUAGCUAAAAUAUAAGGAGCACGUAGAAACCCAGCAGAGGGCUAGGAAGGAAUUUUUCAUUCACUAUCACCUCUGAGAGAGGAAGGGAAGGGAUCGGUGCCAGGGAGGUGCACACCAGAGGUCUCAUCUGUCAGUGAUGCUUCCUUUCUGUGUUUGGGGGCAACGUUCCAAGAAAAUGUAAACAGUCAUUAAGUUUGUUGAUAAGCACAUAAGUAUUCAUUAUGUUAUGCUUUUUUCCAUGUUUGAAAGUCUUUUUGUAAUAAAAAAGAGAACAGAAGAGAAAAUUCAAGA